rnacentral:rRNA from 1 species
GGAGGAAAAGAAACCAACUGGGAUUCCGUGAGUAACGGCGAGCGAAAAGGGAUCAGUCCAGCGCCGAAUCCCACACUCGAAAGGGUGUAGGGAAAUGUGGCGUUUAGGCGUGAGCGUGCCGGAUGCGGACCGAGCAGCAAGUUCCCCUGACCGGGACUGUUACCCAAAGUGGGUGCGAGGCCCAUAGCUGAAAGGUCUGCUCCGGAAUGCGAUCGCCUUGGAGUCGGGUUGCUUGGGAGUGCAACCCUAAGUGGGUGGUAAACUCCACCUAAGACUAAAUACUGCCGUGAGACCGAUAGCAAACAAGUACCGUGAGGGAAAGUUGCAAAGAACUUUGAAGAGAGAGUUCAAGAGUACGUGAAACUGCUCAGAGGUAAACGGGUGGGCCCUCGAAAUCCUGUGGCGGGAUGAUUCAGUUGGGCGCUGCCUUCAGGCUCGAACGGACACGAUAUGGUUAUCCUUUUGAGGGGGCCGUCCGAUCGCUGGAACACGGCGGCGCUCGACGCAUUUCGUUCCCGUCCAAAGGACGCCGCAACCGGUUGGGCUCGACGGCUAGAAGGACGGACGUGGCAGGUGGCCGGUGGAAUCGCUUUAAGCUUUUUCGCCGGUUGUUAGCCCGUCUGCCACAUGGCACGUCGCUCGACCGUGGUGACACGAGGCCUUUGUAGGCUCCUCCGUCUCCUCCCUUAAGCAGGACGCCGGGGCGGAAGGGCAGACGUACGUUCCGAGCGGGGCCGCACUGGCCUUACCAGUGGGCAAAGUUUCGGACGUCAUCGUKAGCCCGAGCGCGCCCGUGGGAGGCAUGAUGGUUGGCGGCGAGUAGGUCGGUCACCCACCCGACCCGUCUUGAAACACGGACCAAGGAGUCUAACAUGUGCGCGAGUCAGUGGGACUUGAAUAUGCCCACAGGCGCAAUGAAAGCAAAGUGCCGGCGGAACCUAGUACCGCCGGCCGAGCUGUGAUCCCGAGCAAUUUUUGCUCGGGCGCAACAGCGACCCGUCCUAUCCGAUUCAUCGGUUGGGCGGCGUCUGAGCGUACACGUUGGGACCCGAAAGAUGGUGAACUAUGCCCGGGCAGGACGAGGCCAGAGGAAACUCUGGUGGAGGUCCGUAGCGGUUCUGACGUGCAAAUCGAUCGUCAGAUCCGGGUCUAGGGGCGAAAGACUAAUCGAACCAUCUAGUAGCUGGUUCCCUCCGAAGUUUCCCUCAGGAUAGCUGGCGCUCGAAACCAGUCUCAUCCGGUAAAGCGAAUGAUUAGAGGCCUUGGGGCCGAAACGACCUCAACCUAUUCUCAAACUUUAAAUGGGUGAGAAGUCCGGCUUGCUUAAUUGAAGUCCGGACGUAAGAGGAUGAGAGUGCCAAGUGGGCCACUUUUGGUAAGCAGAACGGCGCUGUGGGAUGAACCAAACGCUGGGUUACGGCGCCCGAUGCGAGACGCUCAUGAGACCCCAUGAAAGGUGUUGGUUGCUCUAGACAGCAGGACGGUGGCCAUGGAAGUCGGAAUCCGCUAAGGAGUGUGUAACAACUCACCUGCCGAAGCAACUAGCCCUGAAAAUGGAUGGCGCUCCAGCGUCGAGCCCAUACCCGGCCGCUGCGGCAGAGCUUCUUUGUGAGGUUUAGGCCGCGGUGAGUAGGAGGGUCGCGUCGGGGAGCGUUGAAGGUGCCGGGCGUGAGCCCGCCUGGAGCCCCCGACGGUGCAGAUCUUGGUGGUAGUAGCAAAUACUCAAGUGAGAACCUUGAGGACUGAAGGUGGAGAAGGGUUCCAUGUGAACAGCAGUUGAACAUGGGUGAGUCGGUCCUAAGGGAUCGGAGAAAUCCGUUCCGAAGGGGGACGUUACCACUGUUUUGUCCCCCAUGUGACCGAAAGGGAAUGGGGUCAAUAUUCCCCAACCCGGACACGGAGAUUGGGCCUUCGGGCUUAAGUGCGGCAACGCAACCGAACUCGGAGAUGUCGACGGAGGACCCGGAGAAGAGUUGUCUUUUCUUUGUAAGGGUUCGUGUCCCUGGAAUCGGCUCGUCCGGAGAUAGGGAUGCCGUUCCCGUAAAAGCACCGCGGCUCUUGCGGUGUCCGGUGCGCUUCUGUCGGCCCUUGCAAAUCCGAGGGAGAGAGUGUGAUUUUCGUGCCGGACCGUACCCAUUUCCGCAGCAGGUCUCCAAGGUGAACAGCCUCUAGUCGAUA